rnacentral:rRNA from 1 species
GAUGAACGCUAGCGGCAGGCUUAACACAUGCAAGUCGAGGGGUAUAGGUUUUCGGACCUAGAGACCGGCGCACGGGUGCGUAACGCGUAUGCAAUCUACCUUUUACAGAGGGAUAGCCCAGAGAAAUUUGGAUUAAUACCUCAUAGCAUUGCAGAAUGGCAUCAUUCAGCAAUUAAAGUCACAACGGUAAAAGAUGAGCAUGCGUCCCAUUAGCUUGUUGGUAAGGUAACGGCUUACCAAGGCAACGAUGGGUAGGGGUCCUGAGAGGGAGAUCCCCCACACUGGUACUGAGACACGGACCAGACUCCUACGGGAGGCAG